ensembl:lncRNA
GUCAGAUCAGCGGAGCCGGGGGGGGAGAAAGGGGGUUAGUGGCGCACCUGAUUAUAUUUUCUGUUUACCGUCGUCGUCGUCGUCAUCGUCAAACAACCAUGUUUUCAUUCAUCAAUUGUCAUUCGGUCUGCAGCUAUAAAAUUCUCAAACUAUAUUCAUCACCGGACUUGGAUUCAUUGUACGACGCGUAACUGCCUGGAGCCCAGUUAAGCCUCUUAGCGGCCUUUUAUAGGAAAACGGACGCUAUAUAUAGUAAACAGAAAUAAUCCAAAAACACCACGGGAUUCAACGUUGCUCUUAUCGCUUGGAUCUCGAUGUUUUGGACGGAACGAACUAUGCAACAGGGGACUCUUCUGCGGACGCCUGGGAUCAGACACAUAAUUGACUGCAGCAGCGGUGUAACGCGGGAAGUGACAGCAGCGCAUCACAGCCAUCAGAAUCGGUGUUGUUAUGUGGCCAUGCAGAUUGUCUCAUCUCAUCUCAUUUUCGUCCGCUUAUCCGGGGUCGGGUCGCGGGGGGAGCAGCUCAAGCAGGGGGCCCCAGACUUCCCUUUCCCUGGCCACAUUGACCAACUCCGACGGGGGGAUCCCGAGGCGUUCCAAGGCCAGUGUUGAGAUAUAAUCUCUCCACCUAGUCCUGGGUCUUCCCCGAGGUCUCCUCCCCACUGGACGUGCCUGAAACACCUCCCAAGGAAGGCGCCCAGUGGGCAUCCUUACCAGAUGCCUGAACCACCUCAGCUGACUCCUUUCUAAGUAAAGGAGCAGCGGCUCUAAUCCGAGUUCCUCACGGAUGGCUGAGCUUCUCACCCUAUCCCUAAGGGAGACGCCAGCCACCCUUCUGAGAAAACUCAUCUCGGCCGCUUGUACCCGCGAUCUUGUCCUUUCGGUCAUCACCCAGCCCUCAUGACCAU